AGGGUAACAUUGUGCUUGCACAGAUGACGACCGGCGCACGGGUGCGUAACGCGUAUAGAACCUACCUUUUACAGAGGAAUAGCCUUUAGAAAUGAAGAUUAAUGCCUCAUGGUAUUGUAGACUGGCAUCAGUUUAUAAUUAAAGAUUUAUCGGUAAAAGAUGGCUAUGCGUCCUAUUAGUUAGUUGGUAAGGUAACGGCUUACCAAGACAGCGAUAGGUAGGGGUCCUGAGAGGGAGAUCCCCCACACCGGUACUGAGACACGGACCAGACUCCUACGGGAGGCAGCAGUGAGGAAUAUUGGACAAUGGAGGAGACUCUGAUCCAGCCAUGCCGCGUGUAGGAAGAAUGCCCUAUGGGUUGUAAACUACUUUUAUACAGGAAGAAACACUGGUAUGUAUACCAGCUUGACGGUACUGUAAGAAUAAGGACCGGCUAACUCCGUGCCAGCAGCCGCGGUAAUACGGAGGGUCCGAGCGUUAUCCGGAAUCAUUGGGUUUAAAGGGUCCGCAGGCGGUCGAUUAAGUCAGAGGUGAAAUCCCAUAGCUCAACUAUGGAACUGCCUUUGAUACUGGUUGACUUGAGUCAUAUGGAAGUAGAUAGAAUGUGUAGUGUAGCGGUGAAAUGCAUAGAUAUUACACAGAAUACCGAUUGCGAAGGCAGUCUACUACGUAUGUACUGACGCUGAGGGACGAAAGCGUGGGGAGCGAACAGGAUUAGAUACCCUGGUAGUCCACGCCGUAAACGAUGGAUACUAGUUGUUGGGAUUUAUCUCAGUGACUAAGCGAAAGUGAUAAGUUCCCACGUGGGGAGUACGUUGCAA
rnacentral:rRNA from 1 species